CUUUGCAAGUCUCGCUAUUGUAAUAAGUGUUAAUAUAAUAGCAGUUAUGGGAAACUGUUGUUAAAGACUAUUUUUAUAAUUUUUUCAAAAAAGGGAAACGUAUAACCCUACGAUUGAUGAAGCCGCCCAACAGAACUUUUUGUAGUUCAGCUGCAAAUAUCAAAACUGAAAAUCAGAAUAGCAAAGAGCAUUAUAAAAUUGGUUGCUUCACCGUAUUCUUCUUGGUCGAGAUCUGAAGGAGUUCUUCUCAGUCCUUUUACUAUCCCUCUUAUCAUAUUUCCUUCCCAAUUACAGGAAACUUAAUCUUAUGGUGUGCAAUCAUCGUUAUCAUCAAUUACGAAUAAAUUUUUUUGCCCAAAUUUAAUGGGUUAAGAUUAUCGGCUUCGAGGUUCUACGGAAUUAUCUUGUUAUUAAGUAAUUGUUAUCAAUCUUAUCAUUCUUCAUUUUUUUUUUUUUUUUUUUCAUUUUUCAUUUUGAUUUUGUUUAGGAAUUUAAUAUUUAUUACUUGUAUUCUGUAAAUCUAUAUACUUUUAGAAUAUUGUUUUUGUUCCAAUAAGUUGAAUAAAAAUGGGUGAUUAAUGUGUAUAA